GGAACCUGGAAUUCAAACGGCUGGGUAGGAAGCACGCUAGCAGGGGCCUCUGGCCUUGCUGAGGGUCCCUGUUUCCCCUUUUCCUUCCUUUUCACCCAACAAAACCCUGCUUUACUCACCCUUCAAACCAUCUAUGAGCCUAAAUUGUCGUGGUCGUGGAAUGGACAAGGACCCAGUCUUUAGCUGAACUAAGGGAAAGUCCUGCUUUUUGGCGCGCAACAGGGGAGCUCAAGAAACAGGCCUCACUCACGGCAUAUGGAACUAACCACGCCCCUAACUAAGAAGGCACACCUUAGUUGCAGUUAGCACACAAUUAAAGCAACUCUCCAAGUUUUACCUUAAAGUUCAAAAUUGCUAGGAGUUGAAACUACUAGAAAUAUAUUUACAUGCAAGAGUCAAAGAAACUUUGAACUAUUUAUGGCCUUUAAUAAUUAAGUAAGGUAUACUCCUGUGAUCAAGACUUGGAGCAUAUUUGUUUCUCUCUGCCUGGUUCCUCUAGAAAUUGGAAACUAUCAGAACAGAGACCAACUCCGUUUCCCGAUCCCUUUGCAAUCUGCAUUGAACCAUGAGUCAAGUUCUUGAUAAAGGAGUGAAAAUGUGUGUGACACAUGUGCUCAUGGAUUAUUGUCCGAAGCAAGACAUGUGACCAAGCCUAACAUCAACUGGGUGAAGAGCUAUAUGUUCCUUUCUCAAGAGGCACUACAAGUGACAUGCCACUGGGCAGGAUUUUUAUUUCAUUUGCAAUGAAUGAAGAAGCACAGCUCUGAAAGACUGAAUUCCCAGCACUGGGUGUCAGCUCUACCAAAUGCGGUACAGAUUGCAAUCUGACCACAGAAUCUCACCACAAAGAAUGCCGGGGUCUCCUCUGAUUAUAGCUACUGGCUAUAAGUUCUAACUAGGGUUUAAUGCAAAUUUUCCCUGUAGUCUGCUUGGGGAGUUGGCCUCAUUCUUGAAUUUUUCUCAGAAAGUUAUUGCCAAAAAUGUGAGUUCUCACCGCAGUGAAAGAGGAAAUCCAGCUAUGAGCAUAUAUAAUACAGGAGAAAGAAUGCAGAGAAAACACAUUCUUUUCUUGCUACUCAGUUGCCAGAGAAGUAUAUCUAUAAUAUUUUCAGUUGUGAUGCUAUGUCCCAUUGAAUUCAACCACACAUUGGAAAAAUCAGUUUACCCUAGAAUCUAGUUAUUGUUGUGGUACAGUUUAAUUUUUGUCAAAUAAUUCUUUCUAAAAUUUCUAAUGUAAGUCUUUAAUUUUCAAGAUAUUUUGCUUAGAAGAUGAUAUGGUUUGGCUGUGUCCCCACCCAAAUCUCACCUUGAAUUCCCAGGUGUUGUAGGGGGCAGGUCUUUCCUGUGCUGUUCUUGUGAAAGUGAGUAAGUCUCAUGAGAUCUGAAGGCUUUGAAAAACAGGAAUCUCCCUGUACAAGCUCUCUCUUUGCCUGCUGCCAUCCAUGUAAGACGUGACUUGCUCCUUCUUGUCUUCUGCCAUAAUUGUGAGUCUUCCCCAGCCAUGUGGAACUGUAAGUCCAGUUCAACCUCUUUCUUUUGUAAAUUGCCCAGUCUUGGAUAUGUCUUUAUCAGCAGUGUGAAAACAGAGUAAUACAGAAGUAAUUUCUAUGACAUUAUAUAAGAACUAAAGUUUUAUUUUUCCAAAAAUGUUGAAUGUUGAUGCUGUAUUCUGGUGAUGUUUGUUUUACCAGAAAAAUACAUCAUAUUCAGGAUAUGAACUAAACAAAAAUUAGUUGCUACUGCUCAACUGACUUAAAUAUGAGAUGUUGUCUAAUUAUCUCUGAUUGCUUCCUUUGGUUUCUAGUGAUUAAUUAUGCCUAAUUAUUCCUUGAUUUUUGGAAAAUCACAUUUAAGUUUCCUCUGCAAAGAAAAGAAUAGGUAAAUCAAGUCCUCUAGAAAAAAAGCAUAAAAAUAUAGUUUUGAAAUUCUAAAACUCAUAAAGGGAAAUAAAAAUCCCAUUCGUUUUUAUUUUAAUAUUUUGCUAGAAAGUACAAUGGAAGGAAAGAAGUCUUUUUUCUAAGACAGCAGUAUUUUAGUCAAUUGUGUAUCAACAGACUUCUGUAUAACUGGGAGCCACAUCUUGGAAAUGCUCUUUCCAAUGGCAGUGACAUCUGAGGAGAGUCCACUCUGAUAUGGACACUAUACUAGGAGGAGACAAGAGUACAGUAGGAAAAAAUUAGUCUGUGCGGUGAAGGAGUCCUACAUUGUCCCUCAGUAGAUUUCUAUAAAAUUUCACUUAAUUAGUAGCAAGUAACAGAGUUGGAAUGAGGACCUAGAUCUUUCAUUUUAAUCUAAUACUCUUUCUUCCACUAUUUUAGUUAGAGUCAUAUGGGCAAGCCCACAAUUAGUACAUGAGGACAUUUUUAAUGGGUAAGAUUACAGAGAACCAUUAAUUCUAGCCAUUAAAUUAAUCAAUUCAGCAAAGCUCUGAUUCCCCCUUCCCUUAAUUGUUAAAUAAGUAGUUCUCCAUUCAGUUGUUAAAGGAUUAUUUCUUGAUAACAAGGAAAUAAUAAACUUCUUAAGACACCCUGGUAUGAAUAGCUGAAAUUGAUUGAUAGUAAUCUCAGUAAAUCGUUUCAUUCUAAUUUUUGGUAUAUCUAUACUGCUUUGAAUAACUCUUCUACCUACAGCCCAUUAAUAAAUAUUUGCCUAGUCAAAUUUUAGUUUGUGCUAUACUCCUAGAAGGACAUGGGGUGUAUGGAAGCGAAACUAACUGGAUAUUUAAGGCAUUCAAUAAUGUCUUUUUGCUUCCGAUUCUAGCUGUAUAACAUAGGUAAAUCUCUUAAAUUCUCAGAACUUCAAUUCAUUUAUAUGUAAAGUGAGGAGUUGUACCAUAUUGGUAGUUAUUAACAUGUACUGUACUUAUGAAUCAGUCUGAAAAUCUUGCUAAACUGCAUAUUCUGAGCUUUUCUUAAUUUUUUUUUGUUUUCUCGGAAACGCUGAUUCUCUAGGUCUUGGUUGGAGUCCAGGUAUCUGCAAAUUAAAUAAGCACUUGAAGUGAUAGUAUCUGAGUGUCCGUAGGCAAAUGUUAGGAGAACUGAAUCAGAUGUUCUUUGAAAGAUUUUCAUGGUUCUAAAAUGUUCUGAUUUAAAAUCCACAAAGAAAAAAAGCAUUGAAAAUGAAUCAGCAAACUAGAUGUAAUUAAAGCUUCUUGCAAUUCCAUUAAUAAACUUUUUAGAA
rnacentral:lncRNA from 1 species